rnacentral:rRNA from 1 species
CUGCGGCAGCGACGCUGAUGCGUUGUUGGGUAGGGGAGCGUUCUGUAAGCCUGCGAAGGUGGCCUGUGAGGGUUGCUGGAGGUAUCAGAAGUGCGAAUGCUGACAUAAGUAACGAUAAAGCGGGUGAAAAGCCCGCUCGCCGGAAGACCAAGGGUUCCUGUCCAACGUUAAUCGGGGCAGGGUGAGUCGACCCCUAAGGCGAGGCCGAAAGGCGUAGUCGAUGGGAAACGGGUUAAUAUUCCCGUACUUGGUGUUACUGCGAAGGGGGGACGGAGAAGGCUAUGUUGGCCGGGCGACGGUUGUCCCGGUUUAAGCGUGUAGGUGUGUGUUCCAGGUAAAUCCGGUUCACUUUAACACUGAGGCGUGAUGACGAGGCACUACGGUGCUGAAGCAACAAAUGCCCUGCUUCCAGGAAAAGCCUCUAAGCAUCAGGUAACAUCAAAUCGUACCCCAAACCGACACAGGUGGUCAGGUAGAGAAUACCAAGGCGCUUGAGAGAACUCGGGUGAAGGAACUAGGCAAAAUGGUGCCGUAACUUCGGGAGAAGGCACGCUGACAUGUAGGUGAAGUGAUUUACUCAUGGAGCUGAAGUCAGUCGAAGAUACCAGCUGGCUGCAACUGUUUAUUAAAAACACAGCACUGUGCAAACACGAAAGUGGACGUAUACGGUGUGACGCCUGCCCGGUGCCGGAAGGUUAAUUGAUGGGGUCAGCGCAAGCGAAGCUCCUGAUCGAAGCCCCGGUAAACGGCGGCCGUAACUAUAACGGUCCUAAGGUAGCGAAAUUCCUUGUCGGGUAAGUUCCGACCUGCACGAAUGGCGUAAUGAUGGCCAGGCUGUCUCCACCCGAGACUCAGUGAAAUUGAACUCGCUGUGAAGAUGCAGUGUACCCGCGGCAAGACGGAAAGACCCCGUGAACCUUUACUAUAGCUUGACACUGAACAUUGAGCCUUGAUGUGUAGGAUAGGUGGGAGGCUUUGAAGUGUGGACGCCAGUCUGCAUGGAGCCGACCUUGAAAUACCACCCUUUAAUGUUUGAUGUUCUAACGUGGACCCGUAAUCCGGGUUGCGGACAGUGUCUGGUGGGUAGUUUGACUGGGGCGGUCUCCUCCUAAAGAGUAACGGAGGAGCACGAAGGUUGGCUAAUCCUGGUCGGACAUCAGGAGGUUAGUGCAAUGGCAUAAGCCAGCUUGACUGCGAGCGUGACGGCGCGAGCAGGUGCGAAAGCAGGUCAUAGUGAUCCGGUGGUUCUGAAUGGAAGGGCCAUCGCUCAACGGAUAAAAGGUACUCCGGGGAUAACAGGCUGAUACCGCCCAAGAGUUCAUAUCGACGGCGGUGUUUGGCACCUCGAUGUCGGCUCAUCACAUCCUGGGGCUGAAGUAGGUCCCAAGGGUAUGGCUGUUCGCCAUUUAAAGUGGUACGCGAGCUGGGUUUAGAACGUCGUGAGACAGUUCGGUCCCUAUCUGCCGUGGGCGCUGGAGAACUGAGGGGGGCUGCUCCUAGUACGAGAGGACCGGAGUGGACGCAUCACUGGUGUUCGGGUUGUCAUGCCAAUGGCACUGCCCGGUAGCUAAAUGCGGAAGAGAUAAGUGCUGAAAGCAUCUAAGCACGAAACUUGCCCCGA